rnacentral:misc_RNA from 1 species
AGGAAUAUCCUAUACCGAGAGAGGUUUGAUUCUGAAAUCAUCUUGAAGUUCAAAACAAGUUCCAACUUGGUUUAAUUUUGUUAUUUGAAUUCUCUUAAAAGAAAAACUUUGUUAUUUGCAUCCCAGAGAAGCAUAUAAAUCCAGCAUUAAUUUAUUAAUUUGUUUUGAGGUCUUGUGAAACAUGGAUAAUUGUUGCAUCUGAGGAACAAUAUGUAAAUUGAAAGUUUAAUUUUUUUUUUUCUUAGGUG